rnacentral:rRNA from 1 species
AAGGGUUUGAUCCUGGCUCAGAUUGAACGCUGGCGGCAGGCCUAACACAUGCAAGUCGAGCGGAUGAAGGGAGCUUGCUCCUGGAUUCAGCGGCGGACGGGUGAGUAAUGCCUAGGAAUCUGCCUGGUAGUGGGGGAUAACGUCCGGAAACGGGCGCUAAUACCGCAUACGUCCUGAGGGAGAAAGUGGGGGAUCUUCGGACCUCACGCUAUCAGAUGAGCCUAGGUCGGAUUAGCUAGUUGGUGGGGUAAAGGCCUACCAAGGCGACGAUCCGUAACUGGUCUGAGAGGAUGAUCAGUCACACUGGAACUGAGACACGGUCCAGACUCCUACGGGAGGCAGCAGUGGGGAAUAUUGGACAAUGGGCGAAAGCCUGAUCCAGCCAUGCCGCGUGUGUGAAGAAAGUCUUCGGAUUGUAAAGCACUUUU